GUCAUAGUUGGUCUUGUCCAAUACAUGUUACUUAAAUUUCCAUAGAACUCUGAAUAUAAAGAUGUUACUAAAAUAGCUUUUGAUGUCUUGCUUUUGGACUGGGAAGGGGAAGCUACAGAUUUCUGUGUUUCUAUUUCUGGUAGGAGCUUUUCCUUCUGAGUACAAGCAAAUAUUUGAUCUAUAACAGUUUGAAAUGGGGUAGUUUUAGCAAAUAUUCUUAUUUGGAGGCCAACCCUUUCAUCAGCCUUGGCUAGGUAUGCAUCGUAAAACCUGGUGAUUAAACCCCAUGCCUGAUUUGAGGGAUUGAAAAGAUAGCUACCCAAGUGAUGGAAAAUAGUAUCCUUCUCAGGGAACAAUUUACUUACCUCUUCCUUGUAAGUUGAACUCAAGAAGAAAUAAGGGGCAAAGUAUUGGUCUGACAACAGAAUCAACCAAUCUACCUUUCUGAGAAGUGCUUCACUUUCAUCACAGUAGAACAACUUCUUAUCAAGAUCAUAAUUACUAUGAUCAAGAUUAAGAUAUAGAUGUGAAGGCAGUGAUUGAUCCAUUGACAUAUUUAUAAUGCCACUUUUUAACAUGUUUCCAAAACUAUGAGCAAUCCUUAUUUUCUGAACUCCAAAUUGCUGCAUGAGAGGAAAGUUUCUAGGCAAUAACCAUGAUGAAUUAGGAAAUGGCUCGCAGAAGAGAUCAGCCAUAUCGGCUUCAUGAUCAACAAGUAGCACUCGAUUUGUGAGGAUAGCAUAGAGAAAUGUUGCAGCCAUGCUUAUUAUCCUGUUCCCCAAGCCAUUUGCAGGUAUCCAGACAAUGUAUUUACACCCACUGGUACUUCUACUUGUGUGGCUAGCUCCUAGUCUUCUUACUGUUCGGUUAUAAGAUUUCGUGUAAGGUCCACAUCGUUUAUGAAGAUCUUCAUACUCGCGCAGUUUUGAAUGGAAAUAGGAAGAGGGCUUAUGUGAUGAAAGUUUUCGAUAUAGAAUAGAUUGGUAUCUGCUUAAGCAGGAUCCUUCAUCCAAUAUUCCAGGAGGUACAAGUCCUUGAAGCAAUUUAUCAUCAGCUAUUCUGGUAGGCUGAGCCUGAGGAGAGUCAUUUCUUGAGCCUGAUUCUUUGUCAAGUUCUGGAUUUGAAUUUCCAUUCAGCAGUUUGUCAGCAUUCUUGCUGGUAGGUUUAGAGGAAACAUUUCUUGAAUCUGAUUCUUGGUUAAUUCUGGGUUCCAAAGUUCCAUUUAGCAGUUUUCCAGUAGGAAAGAUGGCGGAUUCGGCAGAAUGGAUUUCUGAUUCUGUCAGAACUCAAAAAUAAUCAAUCAGUUUUCCAAUCAAGUCCAUAUCCCUCACACAAUCUCUAUAUUUGCAUUAAUUAACCAUUUAAAUGUUGUUUAUGAACUUAAAACUAUAUCUGUCAUUCAUUUUUUGUUUUGUAUAUCAGAAAUAACAUGGACUUCAUCACUU
rnacentral:misc_RNA from 1 species